rnacentral:rRNA from 1 species
CCUACGGGCGGCAGCAGUGGGGAAUAUUGGACAAUGGGGGCAACCCUGAUCCAGCCAUGCCGCGUGUGUGAAGAAGGCCCUCGGGUUGUAAAGCACUUUCAGUGAGGAAGAACGCCUGGUGGUUAAUACCCAUCAGGAAAGACAUCACUCACAGAAGAAGCACCGGCUAACUCCGUGCCAGCAGCCGCGGUAAUACGGAGGGUGCGAGCGUUAAUCGGAAUUACUGGGCGUAAAGCGCGCGUAGGUGGCUUGAUAAGCCGGUUGUGAAAGCCCCGGGCUCAACCUGGGAACGGCAUCCGGAACUGUCAAGCUAGAGUGCAGGAGAGGAAGGUAGAAUUCCCGGUGUAGCGGUGAAAUGCGUAGAGAUCGGGAGGAAUACCGGUGGCGAAGGCGGCCUUCUGGACUGACACUGACACUGAGGUGCGAAAGCGUGGGUAGCAAACAGGAUUAGAUACCCCGGUAGUC